rnacentral:tRNA from 4 species
GUCGCGUGGCUGAGAGGUUCAAGGUUGACACCGAUAGAGCAGCCAGGUGGUUCUGCAAACCAACACCGGGUUGCCCGUGAGUUCGAAUCUCACCGUGACGCCA